rnacentral:rRNA from 1 species
UACGAAGGGUGCAAGCGUUACUCGGAAUUACUGGGCGUAAAGCGUGCGUAGGUGGUGAGUUAAGUCUGUCGUGAAAGCCCCGGGCUCAACCUGGGAAUGGCGAUGGAUACUGGCUCGCUAGAGUGCGGUAGAGGAGAGUGGAAUUCCCGGUGUAGCAGUGAAAUGCGUAGAGAUCGGGAGGAACAUCAGUGGCGAAGGCGGCCACCUGGACCAACACUGACACUGAGGCACGAAAGCGUGGGGAGCAAACAGG